UGCCCCUAGGUCUUCACCACAGCCUUCAGGACCAGCCUCUCCACUUCCUCUGUAUCUGACUCAUCACCUCAUCCGCCCAGAUGUCCUGCCAGCAGAGCCAGCAGCAGAGCCAGCUCCCUCCCAAGUGCCCCUCCCCCAAGUGCCCCCCCAAGAGUCCUGCUCACUGCUCCCCCCAGGCCUCCUCAGGCUGUGCCUCCAGCUCUGGGGGCUGCCAUGGCCCCAGCUCCCAGCCUGGCUGCUGCCUGAGCUCCCACAGGCGCCACAGGGCCCAUGGAUGCCGGCGCCAGAGCUCAGGGUCCUGUGACGAGGGCAGUGCUGGGCAGUGUGGGGGUUCUGGGGGCUGCUGACCUGAACCCUGAUGCUGAGCUAACUAAGCAAGUGGCUUCAGAGACGAUGGUGACCCAAGGACCAGGAGAAGCUUCAGCCUUGGGCAGCCAUUCCCGGGCCCCAUCUUCACCUCCCAAGGAGAAGCUUGCUCUCCGUGACACCCAGGACCACACAGCCCCUCCCUGCUCUGGCCUCCCAUCCCUACCAGUGAUGACAGUGCCCUGUGGAUCCUGGUAAAAAUAAAGCUUCUCUCUGUCAUUA